GAAGGUGGGAAGAAGGUUCCACUUAAAAGAACUGUGAAGAACAAGUCUUUCGUAGUCCUAUAUAUUUGUGUGUGUUUUCGAUGUACUCCAUGAAGUUUUUUCAAGCACAAGCUGGUAAAUGCUUUGCUCUAAAGAAUGGUCUGUGAAGAAGGUUUUAGGGUUGGAGAUAUAUUUCAAUGGCGUCGACUCUUUCCAAAAGCAAAGGGUUAUCUUCUCAAAAAUGGAUAACAUCAUGGGUCAGGUGAGAUAGUCUUUCCGGAAAAUAAGAGGGUUUCUGUAAAAAUAUAUAUAGUUCCAAAAAAUAGGUUUAGAUAAAAAAAUUAGAUUCAUUUUCUAAACGAGCCUUGGGUAAGUUUUUUUGUCCAGGCUCGGCUCGGCUAGAAUUUGCAAAGUUGUUUUGCCAUUAUUUUGUUGUUAUUUUGUUAUUUUAUUACUAUUAUUUUGUUGUUAUUAUUUGUAUAUUGUAUAACUCUUGUCUUAUUAUUAGUUUUGUUACUAUUUUAGAGACAUUUGCUUGUUAAGUUGCACAUAUCUUAGUGUUAUUUAAGCUUUUUUUUUAAUU